ACUGCGGUUUAUUUUCAGGGAGAAACGGCAAGCUGUCGUCAGCCGAGAGGCAGCGGCGCUACCGGGAGAAGAUCAGAGCUGAUCCUGAGAGGGGCCGAGCUCAUCGGGAAAAGGAUCGCCAGAGGUACCACGAGAGGAAGAAGCUGAUCAGCGAUCUCUCGGAGCACUGCCAGAGACUGAAGCGGGAGGCGUGGCGAGAGGCGGCCAGGCGGUACCGGCAGCGGAAGAAAUCCUGCUCCGUCCCGGGGCCCUCCUGCCUGCAGCAUCGGUCGAGCCACACUGUGGAGCCCGCUGCCGGGCAGAGAAGAGGUGCCUUCUGUCCAGAGAUCAGCCAGAUAACCUGAGACACUCAUCAGCGCCAAAGCUGGGCAGAGGCCGCGUCUCAGAAGCUGUAAAAUCUCUGCAGAUGCCCGUCAUUCCACAGGUUUUGAUUAGUCUCGGGUGUCAGGAUGUCCUUUUCAGGCCACACUCUUGUUUAAGAAAGACACGCCGCCGAUGUCGUUUUACGGUACAGUGUAGCAACUGCCAGUCAAGGCAUGUAACCUCGGGCUUCUCAAAACAGAAAAGAAAGUCUUUUAAGACUCUACGUAGAUGGCAGAUCUUUUUUUUUUUGGCAAGAGGAGUAGUCACAAAAUAUAACAGAGUAAAAGUAUUUAGGUGAUUUAGAUGCACUGUGGUCACUCAAGGGAUGCUUCCUGGUGUCUUCGUGUUGGGUGGCAGGACAGUGCUGGAACUAUGGGACACAGGCUGAAGGAAAGAGAAAACAAGGAUGAAGCAGGGCGAAUCGAUUUCUGAAACCACUAACCGCUGUGCCUGGUGGCAGGAUCCACCCUGUGCCACACAGCCCCUCCUGAGUCUAGUUGUAGUGAUGGCGUCAGGUGUAGGUGGAUUGAUCUCCGCGAUUCCAUUUAGUACAAUUGCCUUGGUUUUACGUUUUGGAUCAGAACAGCGAGACAGCUGUACCCUGUUUCUACUGGCUUUAUUUAUUGGUAGCUUAACACGGCAUAAGUAUUUGAAAAUGCUUAUGUUCCUUGCAUAGUUGUUGGUAAAUCAUCAUCGCCUGGGUUUUUGAAGGAGUUUGGGAGAUUUCGCAACAAAGUUCUAUAGAGGUGUGAGCCUCUGGGCCUGUUUGUCAGGUUUAAAUAAAAUUUUUAAAAAAACACGGAUGAGGUACAUGUUUGGAUCACUUUCACUUCCCGGCAUAAAGUAGGGCCUCCUGUUAAAGCAGUCUGAAGAUCCACAUCUCCCCUUUCCUGGACUACACAGCACUUGUGGUGUACAAUGGAAGCAACAAAAAUAUAGUGAAGUUGAACAUUGUUGCUGGUUUAAAUCUGGCAGAGGAACUGCUGCAAUAAUGGUGUUGGCAUAGUAGAGACAUUUUUUACUUUUAACUUCAAUAGUGUCCUCUUACUUGCGUAACUCCUCUGUCGGUGAGCAACACUGUUAAUCGAUUUGCUUAUUCACAGUCCUGUACAAUAAAUUAAAACUGUUCCAGAUCCCCCAGAAUUCUGUGUGAAGGACAGCCCAGUUCUGAGUUGUCUGCCACACACAGACCCAUGUGUGUGGCUUGGGAAGCCUACAUGUGUGAUUGCAGCUCUUACAUAAAGAUACUGUAUAUUAUUACAACACUUUGGGAAUGAUGUGUUAAACUGUUACCGAUCUGAAUGUAGGUGUUUCUUCUUUGUUUUUCAUUUAGUAUUUUUCUAUUUACUACAAUGGAAUUAUUUUAAAUAAAGUUUUAACAGAG